GUUUGAGCCUGGCUCUGGAUGGACGCUAGCGGCAGGCCUAAUGCAUGCAUGUCGAACGGUGGCUUGAGACAUAGUGGUGCAGGGGGGCAAUACACGUAUGCAACCUACCUUACAUUGGGGGAUAGCCUUUCGAAAGGGAGAUUAAUACCGCAUAAGACAGUAGCUGGGCAUCCAGCAGCUGUUAAAGAUUUAUCGAUGUAAGAUGGGCAUGCGACCAAUUAGUUAGUUGGCGAGGUAACGGCUCACCAAGACUAUGAUUGGUAGGGGAACUGAGAGGUCAAUCCCCCACACUGGCACUGAGAUACGGGCCAGACUCCUACGGGAGGCAGCAGUAGGGAAUAUUGGGCAAUGGACGCAAGUCUGACCCAGCCAUGCCGCGUGCAGGAUGAAGGCGUUAUGCGUCGUAAACUGCUUUUAUACAGGAAGAAACGACUCUUGCGAGAGGCAUUGACGGUACUGUAUGAAUAAGCACCGGCUAACUCCGUGCCAGCAGCCGCGGUAAUACGGAGGGUGCAAGCGUUGUCCGGAUUUAUUGGGUUUAAAGGGUGCGCAGGUGGUUUAUUAAGUCAGUGGUGAAAGACGGUCGCUCAACGAUUGCAGUGCCAUUGAAACUAGUAGACUUGAGUAAAGUAGAGGUGGGCGGAAUUGAUAGUGUAGCGGUGAAAUGCAUAGAUAUUAUCAAGAACUCCAAUUGCGUAGGCAGCUCACUUGGCUUUUUACUGACACUCAUGCACGAAAGUGUGGGUAUCAAACAGGAUUAGAUACCCUGGUAGUCCACACUGUAAACGAUGAUAACUAGGUGUCGGCCGAAAUCUGGUCGGUGCCACAGCGAAAGCGUUAAGUUAUCCACCUGGGGA
rnacentral:rRNA from 1 species